ensembl:lncRNA
GCCGGGUCAUCGUCUUUCCUGAGUGAGUAUGUUUGUGGAUGGAGCCUCUGCUCAGCGCAGCUGCUCGGCUCUCCCUUGCUAUCGUUUCCUCCUUGUGACCACAGCUGUCCUGCCCAUGAGGACUCUGGGCAGCCAGUGUUGUUUCUGUGCUGCCCACAUGGGAUGGGCAAACAGUCUGGUGCAGCCUCUUGUGUUGCAGCUUGUCCUCAGCCAUCAGAGGGGCUGGGGGGAGGCUGAGCACUGGGGGGAUGCCUCAUUUGGUGCUGUAAGUCUGUCUGGAUUGCCAGUCAUAACUGUGCUGUCUGCAAAGGAUGUGCCGUUAACCAAUGACCUGAGUAAUGCAGCUGCCUGCAGUCCCAUGGAAUGAUGGCAUUACCCCAUAGAGAUUGCUGGUUUACCUGGGGAAAACAGCCUGAUUUGACUGUGUGUGCAAAUCAGACCCGACAGGUGACCCCCACAUGGGGGGGAGUUAAGCAGGGUGGAGAAAGUCACCGAAAUCUGGGCACGGGGCCUUCACCCAGCUCCACAACCAGAGGGGUGUUUGCUGUUGAAGUCAGUAUAUCAGGCUCCCCUGGGGUCUGCUGACAGCUCAGGACUCAGGUUGUGCUGUUGCUUAGGGAACUAUAAUGGAGCAGAUGAUCCACAGCAUUUCCUCCUGGAGCCUUUACCUUCUCUCCAGAGGUGGGCACUUUGAGAAUCCACCCUUGGGACCUAUUUACACGUCCCAGAGCUGUAGAGGUUUCUGUGAGGAAGAUCUGAUGGUAGAGAUGAAGGAAUUUAGGUGAUGUUUUCAUCCUUUUGAGGCCUGGAUUUCUCAGCUGGGUGACCCCAUUUCCCAGCACAGCCCCUGGAAUUGGGGCACAGGCAGCUUUGGGGGAUGCUGGACCUUGAUGCAGUGUGAAAAUCAAGCUGUGAGCAGGCAAUCCCGGUGGGCAGCAAAGGCUGCUGAGUCACGCCUCCAUCCUCUCCUUCUGUACAGGUUUAAGUUGGAGUUUAUCCACAAACCACCUCCCAGGAAACCAUCCAAGGCAUCCAGGGAAGUGCCUGGUGAGGGCAAGAUGGAGAAAGAAGAGGGUUUGGGUGUGCCACCUCUUGGCCGGGACAAGAAAGGGCCAGGAAAGAUCCCUGAGCAGCCAUCCUUACAUGGCCGACGGAGCACUGCCCAUAGAGGAGGCACAGGUUCUUUUCCCAAAACAAGGGUGGAGCAGAAGAAGAGCUCUGUGCCCAGGUGAGGCUGGGUGCUCGGGGUUGGGAUCCUCAUGGGGCUGAACCAGCAAGGGCCCAUUCUCCAGCCCCACUGCCUGGGGCUGUCCGGCACUGCUGAAUGCAGAGCAUGGAUGGGUAGUAUGUGGCUGCUGUGAGAUCACAGGGCUGGUUCCCUUCUGGCCCUCAAGAGAACCCAAGGGCAGCCUGUGAGCUCUGCUUGGGGAAGGCUGUGCUGCAGCCAAGGCUGCAGGAUGUGGCCCCAAAGGUGGCUGCAGGAUGUGGCCCCAAAAAUGUCACACACUGUAAAGCAUCUCCUCUGCUCUGCUCUUCUCUUUCAGUCAAGUUCCAGCGCUCCCGG